rnacentral:rRNA from 1 species
UAUCUCUGUAGAGUCUGCAUAUCAAUAAGCGGAGGAAAAGAAACUAACAAGGAUUCCCCUAGUAACGGCGAGUGAAGCGGGAAGAGCUCAAAUUUGAAAUCUUAAAGGGUUUACCUUUACGAAUUGUAGUUUAAAGAAGUGUUUUCUGUUGAGGUUUUGGUAAAAGUUCUUUGGAAUAGGACAUCAUAGAGGGUGAGAAUCCCGUAUUUGACCAUUACUUUCAACUUUGUGAUACACUUUCAAAGAGUCGGAUUGUUUGGGAAUGCAGUCCAAAAUGGGUGGUAAAUUUCAUCUAAAGCUAAAUAUUGGCGAGAGACCGAUAGCGAACAAGUACCGUGAGGGAAAGAUGAAAAGAACUUUGAAAAGAGAGUUAAACAGUACGUGAAAUUGUCAAAAGGGAAGCGUUUGACACCAGUGUUGUUUUUCUCGAAAAUCAAUUAAAGAAAGUUGAUUUAUGCUAAGCUGUUUAGACCUUAUCAGCUAUCUGUUAGUUUUUGAGCUUUUCUUUAAUGCACUUUUCAGUUAACAAGUCAACAUCAAUUUCUUUUGCUGUAAAAAGUCAUUGAGGAAGGUGGCUUGAGAUUCGUCUUAAGUGUUUAUAGCCUCUUGCCUAUGCAGUCGGAGAGAUUGAGGUCUGCAGCGUAGAUCCUUCGGGGCUAAAUGCAGCAUUUGUGCUAAGUUAUAGCAUUUUAUAGACAACUUGUUGACUAUGAUUUAGUCAUUGUAGCUUACUCGCUUAUGCUUAUUUUACCUACGCUUAGGAUGUUGAUCUGUAGUGCGUGCGC